rnacentral:rRNA from 1 species
CGAAGCCUGACGGAGCAAUACCGCGUGAGGGAAGAAGGCUUUUGGGUUGUAAACCUCUUUUAUCAGGGAAGAAGAAUUGACGGUACCUGAAGAAAAAGCAUCGGCUAACUCCGUGCCAGCAGCCGCGGCAAUACGGAGGAUGCAAGCGUUAUCCGGAAUCAUUGGGCGUAAAGGGUCCGCAGGUGGCGAAUAAAGUCUGCUGUUAAAGACCGGGGCUUAACUCCGGAAAGGCAGUGGAAACUGAUUAGCUAGAGUACGGUAGGGGUAGAGGGAAUUCCCAGUGUAGUGGUGAAAUGCGUAGAUAUUGGGAAGAACACCGGUGGCGAAAGCGCUCUACUAGGCCGAAACUGACACUGAGGGACGAAAGCUAGGGUAGCGAAAGGGAUUAGAUACCCCUGUAGUCUUAGCGGUAAACGAUGGAUACUAGGUGUAACUUGUAUCGACCCGAGCUGUGCCGAAGCUAACGCGAUAAGUAUCCCGCCUGGGGAGUACGCACGCAAGUGUGAAACUCAAAGGAAUUGACGGGGGCCCGCACAAGCGGUGGAGUAUGUGGUUUAAUUCGAUGCAACGCGAAGAACCUUACCAGGGCUUGACAUGUCGCGAAUCUAGCGGAAACGUUAGAGUGCCUUAGGGAAUGCGAACACAGGUGGUGCAUGGCUGUCGUCAGCUCGUGUCGUGAGAUGUUGGGUUAAGUCCCGCAACGAGCGCAACCCUCGUCCUUAGUUGCCAAUAUUAAGUUAGGCACUCUAGGGAGACUGCCGGGGACAACUCGGAGGAAGGUGGGGAUGACGUCAAGUCAGCGUGCCCCUUACGUCCUGGGCGACACACGUACUACAAUGGUUGGGACAAAGGGCAGCAAGCUCGCGAGAGUAAGCGAAUCUCAUCAAACCCAGCCACAGUUCAGAUUGCAGGCUGCAACUCGCCUGCAUGAAGUAGGAAUCGCUAGUAAUCGCAGGUCAGCAUACUGCGGUGAAUUCGUUCCCGGGCCUUGUACACACCGCCCGUCACACCAUGGAAGCUGGCUACGCCCGAAGUCGUUACCCAAACCCGGUUUUGGGAGGGGGAUGCCGAAGGUAGAGCUAGUGACUGGGGUGAAGUCGUAACAAGGUAGCCGUACCGGAAGGUGUGGCUGGAUCACCUCCUUU